ensembl:snoRNA SNORA70 Small nucleolar RNA SNORA70
AUAAAGAAAAUAAAGACUGGUGUGUGAUGGCGGCAAACAGCAGCCUCCUUGGUAGUGUCUGCAGCCGGAAGCUUGUGUGGGUUGCCCUGAGGGGCCCUGGAGACGUUC